CCUACGGGCGGCUGCAGUGGGGAAUAUUGGACAAUGGGGGGAACCCUGAUCCAGCCAUGCCGCGUGUGUGAAGAAGGCCCUCGGGUUGUAAAGCACUUUCAGUGAGGAAGAACGCCUGGUGGUUAAUACCCAUCAGGAAAGACAUCACUCACAGAAGAAGCACCGGCUAACUCCGUGCCAGCAGCCGCGGUAAUACGGAGGGUGCGAGCGUUAAUCGGAAUUACUGGGCGUAAAGCGCGCGUAGGUGGCUUGAUAAGCCGGUUGUGAAAGCCCCGGGCUCAACCUGGGAACGGCAUCCGGAACUGUCAAGCUUGAGUGCAGGAGAGGAAGGUAGAAUUCCCGGUGUAGCGGUGAAAUGCGUAGAGAUCGGGAGGAAUACCAGUGGCGAAGGCGGCCUUCUGGACUGACACUGACACUGAGGUGCGAAAGCGUGGGUAGCAAACAGGAUUAGAUACCCGAGUAGUC
rnacentral:rRNA from 1 species